UCCCUGGUGGUCUAGUGGUUAGGAUUUGGUGCUCUCACUGCCAUGGCCCGGGUUCAAUUCCCAGUCAGGGAA
rnacentral:tRNA from 1 species